UACGUAGGGGGCGAGCGUUGUCCGGAUUUAUUGGGCGUAAAGAGCGUGUAGGCGGCCAGGUAGGUCUGCUGUGAAAACUCGAGGCUCAACCUCGAGACGUCGGCGGAAACCAUCUGGCUAGAGUCCGGAAGAGGAGAGUGGAAUUCCUGGUGUAGCGGUGAAAUGCGCAGAUAUCAGGAAGAACACCCGUGGCGAAGGCGGCUCUCUGGGACGGUACUGACGCUGAGACGCGAAAGCGUUGGGAGCGAACAGG
rnacentral:rRNA from 1 species